rnacentral:rRNA from 1 species
GAGGGGCAGCGGGGAGGAAGCUUGCUUUCUCCGCCGGCGACCGGCGCACGGGUGAGUAACACGUAUGCAACCUGCCCCUGUCAGGGGGACAACCCGCCGAAAGGCGGGCUAAACCCGCGUACAUGCCACCGGGGCAUCCCGGAGGCAGGAAAGGCUUCGGCCGGACAGGGAUGGGCAUGCGGCGCAUUAGGCAGUAGGCGGGGUAACGGCCCACCUAACCGACGAUGCGUAGGGGUUCUGAGAGGAAGGUCCCCCACACUGGUACUGAGACACGGACCAGACUCCUACGGGAGGCAGCAGUGAGGAAUAUUGGUCAAUGGUCGGGAGACUGAACCAGCCAAGCCGCGUGAGGGAGGAAGGUACAGAGUAUCGUAAACCUCUUUUGUCAUGGAACAAAGGCGGGGACGUGUCCCCGGAUGAGUGUACCUGAAGAAAAAGCAUCGGCUAACUCCGUGCCAGCAGCCGCGGUAAUACGGAGGAUGCGAGCGUUAUCCGGAUUUAUUGGGUUUAAAGGGUGCGCAGGCGGUCUGUUAAGUCAGCGGUCAAAGCCCGGGGCUCAACCCCGGCCCGCCGUUGAAACUGGCAGUCUCGAGUU